UUUAUCGCCCACAAAAAUAUAAGUUACUGCCGAUAUCGUACGUGCUAUCGAUAAGCACAGCUUUGCUUCUACAUCGAUAGCUCUACAGGCAACAUUGUUGGAUGUGCAGAUAGAUAAAACUGGCCACAAAACAGGCGCAGAAAUUUUCAAUGUAAAACAACAUAAUUUGGAAAUUUAUAA